AGGGUUUGAUUAUGGCUCAGGAUGAACGCUGGCGGCGUGCCUAAUACAUGCAAGUCGAACGCACCGCUUCGGUGGUGAGUGGCGAACGGGUGAGUAAUACAUAAGUAACCUGGCCUUUCGAGGGGGAUAACUAUUGGAAACGAUAGCUAAGACCGCAUAGGCAUAAUUCUCGCAUGAGAGUUAUGUUAAAUAUCCCAAGGGAUAGCGAGAGGAUGGACUUAUGGCGCAUUAGCUAGUUGGUGAGGGUAACGGCCCACCAAGGCGACGAUGCGUAGCCGACCUGAGAGGGUGGACGGCCACACUGGGACUGAGACACGGCCCAG
rnacentral:rRNA from 1 species